AUUUGGCCUUUGGCAAUUCAGUAAACAUUUUAGCAAUUUCUUCUUUCCUGCCUGCUGAAGACUGACUUCCUCCUGCUGCCAAAGGUUUGCAGUGCUUAUUUAAGUUCUAGAGUCUGGACGUCUGAGAUCAGGGUGCCAGCACUGUCGAGGUCACAGACUGCAGACCUCCUUGUAUCUUCAAAUGGAGGAAAGAGGACAAGAGAGCUCCUGUGGUCCCUUUUAUCAAGAUGAAUGCACAAGGAAAAUGUUGUACAUUUGCACAUUGGAGUACACUUCAGCCAUAAAAAGAAUGAGAUGCUGUCAUUUGCAACAACAGGUCAACAGCAAUCUGAGACACACUCUUCUCAUGGCAGAUUAUGGGACCAUAAAGCAGUCUCACUCUGUCGCCCAGGCUGGAGUUCAGUGGCAUGAUCUCGGCUCACUGCAACCUCUGCCUCCCCGGUUCAAGCGAUUCUCCUGCCUCAGCAUCCCAAGCAGCUGGAAUUACAACCACAUGCCACCAUGACCAGCUAAUUUUUGUAUUUUUAGUAGAGGCGAGGUUUCACCACAUUGGUCAGGCUGGAAUUGCAUCUUUUUAAUGACUGUAGGCCAUGAUUCAAGAAUGAGUCUCAUAUACAUUAUGCUCAUUCUUAAUGUCUUCUAAAUUAAUAAAUAUAUUAGAAUAUAUUCGCAAAAUCUUUCCAAUCUGAUCUGAGACUCUCACAAUAUGUCUAAUAUUAUGUGAAACACUAUGCUCUUUGAAGCGAUUUCACAUUAAUAAACUAACAUUUUCAUCACACAGAUUAUUUAAGUAAUGUAAAAUAUUAUUAUGAGUAUAUAACAGAAAAACAGAGUUAGGGAAGAAAUCCACCUAAAAUGAUGAGGGGUUAAUAGAUUUUGACUCUACACUAUUACCAGGUCUCUAAUGAAGUGUCCCAAAAUUUGUGUCUUUUUAGAAUACAUAACAAAUUAUAUUAUUUGUACAAGACACUGAAGUAAAAUGACCAAGGUGUUCCUAAGCCACAAGCUACAAGCACUGACCUGCUACUCCAGCCUUGCCCUCUCAAAGAGCAAAGAUGUUAAUACCUGGUCUCAGUAAUAAAGUUGGGUAAAAUUUAAACAACCAUGAGAAAGCUUUGAUAGUAUUUUUCAUGUUUCAAUUUUCUGGUGAUGUCAAGAUAUUAUUAAUUAUUCAUUGACAUGUAUAAAUAAACUUCAGUCACCUUAAGAAUACUUUACAUUAUUUUCUGUAAAAAUUUUCUGUAAAAUUAUGCCUAAUUAAUAAACUGAUAAUAUUAAAAUACACGUUCCACCAAGUGUUCACUUUUUUUAACACAAGUGUUAGAAUGCAUUUCAGAUCACGACUAUUACUCAUUAUCAUUUUAAUUGAUGUUUAAUUAAAUUUUAAAAAUGUUUUAUUUUUUAGUUGAAAAAUACAAUUGUAUGUAUUUAUGGUAUGCAACAUAGUUUUAAAAUAUGUAUUGUUGUGGAAUGGCUAAUUAGAGCUGAUUAACAUAUGCAUUACCCAAUACACUUAUCAUUUCUUUUGUGGUGAGAACACAAAAUAUAUUCUCUUAGUGAUUUUUGAGUAUUCAAUCUAUUGUUAUUAAAUAUAGUCACC
rnacentral:lncRNA from 1 species